rnacentral:misc_RNA from 1 species
GAUGAAGAACGUAGCGAAAUGCGAUAAGUAAUGUGAAUUGCAGAAUUCAGUGAAUCAUCGAAUCUUUGAACGCACAUUGCGCCCCCUGGCAUUCCGGGGGGCAUGCCUGUUCGAGCGUCAUUACAACCCUCAAGCUCUGCUUGGUAUUGGGCUCUGCUGGGACCGGCAGGCCUUAAAAUCAGUGGCGGCGCCACUCGGCUUCAAGCGUAGUAAUUCUUCUCGCUUCGGAGACCCGGGUGCGUGCUAGCCAGCAACCCCCAACUUUCUUAGGUUGGCCUCGGAUCAGGUAGGGAUACCCGCUGAACUUAAGCAUAUCAAUAAGCGGAGGA